ensembl:lncRNA
GUGAUGGAAGGUGUCUUUAAGAAAUAGAAUGUGUCUGUGAUGGAAGGUGUCUUUAAACAAUAGAAUGUGUCUGUGAUGGAAGGCGUGGUGUCUUUAAACAAUAGAAUGUGUCUGUGAUGGAAGGUGUCUUUAAACAAUAGAAUGUGUCUGUGAUGGAAGGUGUUUUUAAACAAUAGAAUGUGUCUGUGAUGGAAGGUGUCUUUAAGAAAUAGAAUGUGUCUGUGAUGGAAGGUGUCUUUAAACAAUAGAAUGGGUCUGUGAUGGAAGGUGUGGUGUCUUUAAACAAUAGAAUGUGUCUGUGAUGGAAGGUGUGGUGCCUUUAAACAAUAGAAUGUGUCUGUGAUGGAAGGUGUGGUGCCUUUAAACAAUAGAAUGUGUCUAUGAUGGAAGGUGUGUUGCCUUUAAACAAUAGAAUGUGUCUGUGAUGGAAGGUGUGUUGCCUUUAAACAAUAGAAUGUGUCUGUGAUGGAAGGUGCCUUUAAACAAUAGACUGUGUCUGUGAUGGAAGGUGUCUUUAAACAAUAGAAUGUGUCUGUGAUGGAAGGUGUGGUGUCUUUAAACAAUAGAAUGUGUCUGUGAUGGAAGGUGUGGUGUCUUUAAACAAUAGAAUGUGUCUGUGAUGGAAGGUGUGGUGUCUUUAAACAAUAGAAUGUGUCUGUGAUGGAAGGUGUGGUGCCUUUAAACAAUAGAAUGUGUCUGUGAUGGA